rnacentral:rRNA from 1 species
GACAGAGGGUGCAAACGUUGUUCGGAUUUACUGGGCGUAAAGCGCGUGUAGGCGGCUUUGCAAGUCGGAUGUGAAAUCCCACGGCUCAACCGUGGAAGUGCAUCCGAAACUGCAUCGCUGGAGUCUCGGAGAGGAAGGUGGAAUGCUUGGUGUAGAGGUGAAAUUCGUAGAUAUCAAGCAGAACACCUGCGGCGAAGGCGGUGCUCUGGGCCGGAACUGACGCUGAGGAGCGAAAGCGUGGGUAGCAAACAGG